AUUCCUGAUAUGUUUUUAUCUGUCAGCAGCUCGGACACACUGCUGUCGCCGCUGACGUACCGUUACCUGUUGGGACACAGAUGUUAUAAAAUAAUACU